rnacentral:rRNA from 1 species
CCUACGGGUGGCAGCAGUGGGGGAUAUUGCACAAUGGGGGAAACCCUGAUGCAGCGACGCCGCGUGGGUGAAGAAGAGCCUCGGCGCGGAAAGCCCUGUCAGCAGGGAAGAAAAUGACGGUACCUGAAGAAUAAGCCCCGGCAAACGACGUGCCAGCAGCCGCGGUAAUACGCAGGGGGCAAGCGUUAUCCGGAUUUACUGGGUGAAAAGGGGGCGCAGACGGCGGUGCAAGCCAGGGGUAAAAGCCCGGGGCCCAACCCCGGGACGGCUCUUGGAACGGCGUGGCUAGGGUGCAGGAGGGCAGGCGGAAUUCCUGGUGUAGCGGUGAAAUGCGUAGAUAUCAGGAGGAACACCGGUGGCGAAGGCGGCCUGCUGGACUGCAACUGACGUUGAGGCCCGAAAGCGUGGGGAGCAAACAGGAUUAGAUACCCGUGUAGUC